ensembl:lncRNA LINC02308 long intergenic non-protein coding RNA 2308
AGCCCCAGACGGGCUCUGCCAUCAACCUGCAGCUCCUCCUGAGCUGCGGCUCUUCCCGCUCUGCCCCCAACACAAGGAGAGCCCCGACUUGGGAGGAGGGCUUUUCAGAUCGCAGCUUGGCCUGAGGCAGAGCCAGAGCGAUGAGGUCACCCAGCACAGCUGCUAACUAUUUCAAGGAAACAGGUGGUGGCUCUGGCCUUUUCAUGGGCUUGGAGUUUUCUGGGAGAGGCCUCUUCAAGGGCGUCCUUGAAGCCCAGCCAUGGAUGUCCCUGUGGUUGGGAAAGGGGAGCUCAGGGUAAUGGAGUAUCCUCAAGAACCUGCAGAUAUUACCUCCCUCCAGAACCGUGGUCUCAGCCCUGGCUGCAUAUUCCUUCAACGGGAGGGCUUUAGAAAUGCUGUGCCAGAGCUGCACCCCAGACCAACAAAAUCAGACUCUCCAGGAUGCGGCCAAGGCAUCAGUAUGUGGAAAGCUUUCAGGAAAACUGAGCAAAAUGAAAGCCAAUUCAAAGAAGAAGGAAUUAAGUACAUAAUUGUGCAGAUGAUACAUGGAAAUGGUAAGAAUGGUGACAAUGGGACGUAAGUGACUGAAAUUUGGGAUACAUUGGAUUAGAAGAAAAUAAGCCCCCAAGAAACCGGUAAGAAGGAUAUUGCAACAGCACGAGAGAUUUUAAACUCCUUGAUAUCAGAAAGACUUAUCUUCUAUUAAUUUUGUUUUCCUCUCAGGAAUAAGUCUGGAGGGCAGCAAGAGUGACUGUCCAGCUAAGAACCUCAUCAGCAAUACAAAACAUUGUCACAGAUGUUGAAACAGACCCUGAGGUUAAUGCAUUCUUUCCAACAUUAGGUCCUAAAACUUCUCCUGAAAAGCUACCUUAAAUCUAACUUUUGAAAGUGCACAAUAAAGGUGAAUUAAAUAAAAGCAACUUGAAA